rnacentral:rRNA from 1 species
AGCUCCAAUAGCGUAUAUUAAAGUUGUUGCGGUUAAAAAGCUCGUAGUUGGACUUCUGCUGAGGUUGGCCGGUCCGCAUAUUUUGCGUGCGCCGAGUGCCGUGACCUUAGCAUACCUGUCGGGGAGCAGUGGCGCGUUUAACCGCGUGCUAUUGGUGCUCGACCCAUUUACUUUGAGGAAAUUAGAGUGUUCACCGCAGGCGAUCGUUCUGAAUACAUUAGCAUGGAAUAAUAACAUAGGACCUUGGUGCUAUUCUUGUUGGUUUCUAGCGCUGAGGUAAUGAUAAAUAGGGAUAAUUGGGGGCACUCGUAUUAACGCGUCAGAGGUGGAAUUCUUGGAUUGCGUUACGACGAACCACUGCGAAAGCAUUUGUCAAGGAUGUUUUCA